UGCAGCGUGGUUUAGUGGCAAGACCAUGGGCUUGGGACUCAGAGGACGUGGGUUCGAAUUCCGUCUCCGCCA
rnacentral:tRNA from 1 species